rnacentral:snoRNA from 1 species
AUGCAGGAUUAGUUACAAUACAGCUUGUGCAGUACUGUGUUGUCGUUCCCCCUGCAAACAGCAAAGUGUUUCCUCGCUAUCCCUGUCUAUCAACUUCCCUUUGACUGACAGGGACGUAAGGUUUCAUACAC